CUUUGCUGCACCAGACAGAAAAUCCAGCCCUCUUUCCCUACUCUUUUCCUUGUUCUUGGUUUCUUUCUUCUCCGCUUCUUACAUGGCAGCCCUCCCUCUCUCACCAAAACAAAAUAUCCCUCUCUAAAGAAGAAAUUAAAGGGUUAACACUAAAAUUUCAGCUUCAAAUUGUUGGGGUGUUACCAGUUCCCCAGGUUUAAGCUCCGUCGACUGUAGACUCUCGGUUCCUCUGCUUUCAAGUAAGGGAUAAGUUAUAUGAGUAUUUGGUAAGUCAUGAGAUUAUUUUAAAGUAUAUUAUGCAUUAAAAAGUUUUUGAUUAGAGAUAUGACAUGUAAUCAUGUUUUAGACAAAGAUAUGUUCGUGAACUUUUGAAACCUUAUGUAUAUGAUUUAAGCAUAUUGAUGCUAUUAUUGAUUCCACAAACAUGAUGUUUAAAGAAAAGAAUGGAAAUGCUAUUAUUAUGAAAUGUUAUGCAAAAUAAGAAAUUUCAGUAUGAUGUAAAGUAUGAAAUGUUUUCGGGUUAUGUCCUUUGGUAAUCUAAACUCGGCUAGUAGGGGUUAAUUACUAGCUUUCCAUGGAAAAAUGUUAUCUGUUUGGCCAUUUAAAGUAGAGGAAAUGGGGCUGCCCGUAACUCUAGGCAAUUUAAAGUAGAGGAAAUGGGAUUGCCCGUAACUCUAAUCUGAAUAAGGCCUUCUCCCCAAUGUGUACGGACAGUGGGGAGGAAUAAAACCUUGAAGGGAUGUGCCAUCAGGCCUCUCAAAGAGGACAAUAUCAUGCACACGAGGUCACCCAAAUGUGAUGAGGCCUUCUCUGUACAACUUAUCAGAUAUGGACUAACCAAUAUGUUAUGAACAGCUAUAUUAUGUUAUUAAUCAUGAGAAAAUUAUUUUGUGUAAAUGCAUUGUGAAAAGUAAAAGCUCUCAUGGCAAGAAGAAGUUUUUGAUGAAAAGAAAAGUUGUUCAUUAAAGAUAAAAGUUUCUGAAGUUCUAUUGUGCUAUAAAGAUAAAACUUUUGAUGAAAGUACAAGUUAUGUUUAAAAGUUAUCAGAUACUUGUUCUUUAUGAAAUGUUAAGUUUUAUGACUAUGAAAGUUAUAAUAUUUUUUGGGAAAAUGUUUAUAAAGAAAGAUUUUCUUAUUGGGUCAAGAUGUUUCUAGUUUAAUACAAAGUUGUCGAUUAUCUGAUUUAAGUUAAAAUGAUUAUUUUGUAAUGAGAAUAUACAUAUGAUGACUUUGUAGGAAAUGAAAUAAGCUUAAUCCGAAAGGUUUUGGUAAUAUUAACCUGAUAAGAAAAAGGAGAACAAUUAUUUUCUAUGAAGAGUGUAUAAGCUAUUAUUAUGAAUAGUAUAAAAUACUAUGCAUGAAAAGAUGUUCUCCUGUUCGAAUAUUUAUAGAAUGAAAUGAUUUGAUUUACAUGCAUCCUUAUUGAAUUUUCAUAUAUCUUACCUUUACUAAGCUGUGUAGCUCACCCCUUCCACUCUUUCAGUUAGUAGGUUUUAUUUUGGAGCAGAGGGAGCCUUAGUCGAGUUUGGAAGGAGUUGGUUUUAGUUUUAUAUGUAUAGAUCCUAAAUUAACAAUUUGAUGUUUAGCAAUUUGAUGUUUAGCUUUGUAGUAUUGUGUAUUUUAGGAUCUAAUGAAAGUUGUGUACCUUAAAGUAGUAAGAGAUGUAUUAUGUGAAAGUGUGAAAAUUAAAUGAUUGAUGGAUUAUGUUAUAUUUUGAGUA